rnacentral:lncRNA from 1 species
CUCAUGUGUCUCCUGGAAAAAUGAAAAACUGCAAAGGCUAACACACUCGAACUGCCAUCGAGAAGAACAUGUCCAUAUUUUUCUGGACUGACUUCAUCCUCACUGGUUUCAGGACCACUUCUCCUCUCUAGAUACCACAGUGCCCUUAAGUAAGGGUCACACACAUUCCAGCACCACUACAAUAAUUAAGGACCCAAGGUAAAUUCGAC